UACGAAGGGGGCUAGCGUUGCUCGGAAUUACUGGGCGUAAAGGGCGCGUAGGCGGAUAGUUUAGUCAGAGGUCAAAGCCCAGGGCUCAACCUUGGAACUGCCUUUGAUACUGGCUAUCUUGAGUUCGGGAGAGGUGAGUGGAAUGCCGAGUGUAGAGGUGAAAUUCGUAGAUAUUCGGCGGAACACCAGUGGCGAAGGCGACUCACUGGCCCGAUACUGACGCUGAGGCGCGAAAGCGUGGGGAGCAAACAGG
rnacentral:rRNA from 1 species